rnacentral:lncRNA from 1 species
GCUGUAAAGAAAGUGUCUCUCAAAUCAGUUUCUUCUCCUUUUUGCUUAGGGAAAUUUACAAGGUUGUUUUUGAAGAUAGUCAUGGAGACAAGGCAGAGGUGUUUCUGCAGGAGACAUUCCGUUGUGCCCUCCUCUCUUUCAGAUAAUAUUACAGCAAGUCAGUUCUUAAAGAUGGGAAAUGUUCCAAGAAAGCCUUUGUCAGGCACCACAUGA